rnacentral:rRNA from 1 species
UACGUAGGGGGCAAGCGUUGUCCGGAAUCAUUGGGCGUAAAGCGCGCGUAGGCGGCCCGGUAAGUCCGCUGUAAAAGUCCAGGGCUCAACCCUGGAAAGCCGGUGGAUACUGUCGGGCUAGAGUCCGGAAGAGGCGAGUGGAAUUCCAGGUGUAGCGGUGAAAUGCGUAGAUAUCUGGAGGAACACCGGUGGCGAAGGCGGCAUCCUGGACCGGCAUUGACGCUGAGGAGCGAAAGCUAGGGGAGCAAACGGG